GAUGAAGAACGCAGCGAAAUGCGAUAAGUAGUGUGAAUUGCAGAAUUCAGUGAAUCAUCGAAUCUUUGAACGCACAUUGCGCCCCUUGGUAUUCCAUGGGGCAUGCCUGUUCGAGCGUCAUUUGUACCUUCAAGUUCUGCUUGGUGUUGGGUGUUUGUCUCGCCUCUGCGUGUAGACUCGCCUCAAAACAAUUGGCAGCCGGCGUAUUGAUUUCGGAGCGCAGUACAUCUCGCGCUUUGCACUCAUAACGACGACGUCCAAAAGUACAUUUUUACACUCUUGACCUCGGAUCAGGUAGGGAUACCCGCUGAACUUAAGCAUAUCAAUAAGCGGAGGA
rnacentral:misc_RNA from 1 species